GGGUGAGUAACAUGUAGGUAUCUACCCUUUGGCCUGGAAUAACACGAGGAAACUUGUGCUAAUACCGGAUAAGUCUUUACGGAGAAAGCUUUAUGCACCAUUGGAUGAGCCUGCACUUGAUUAGUUUGUUGGUGGGGUAAUGGCCUACCAAGACUGUGAUCAAUAGCUGAUUUGAGAGGAUGAUCAGCCACAUUGGGACUGAGACACGGCCCAAACUCCUACGGGAGGCAGCAGUGGGGAAUCUUGCACAAUGGAGGAAACUCUGAUGCAGCGAUGCCGCCUGAGUGAAGAAGGCCUUUGGGUUGUAAAGCUCUUUCGUCGGGGAAGAAAAUGACUGUACCCGAAUAAGAAGGUCCGGCUAACUUCGUGCCAGCAGCCGCGGUAAUACGAAGGGACCUAGCGUAGUUCGGAAUUACUGGGCUUAAAGAGUUCGUAGGUGGUUGAAAAAGUUAGUGGUGAAAUCCCA
rnacentral:rRNA from 1 species